GAGGCGACGCUGCGCUCCGGAUGCGACAGGGAGGCGGAAGCCCCGCGAGGAGACGAAGGAGCAGAAAAUGAAGAGGCAUGGAGGAGAGGCGGGCGAGCGGGAAGGGCUGGGGCGUGUGGGCGAGCGGGAAGGGCUGGGGCGUCGCCCACGACGCCGAGCUUGACGGCGGCCUUGCGGUGGCGCAGCCGGCGAGGACCUGUCGGAUCUGGCCGGAUCCGGUGGGAUACGGCGCGCAUGCGGCGGAUCUGGAAGGAAGGCGACCGGGGCGUGGAGUACGAUGGCUGACAUGCGCGGCAUGGCUGAAGCCGACGAGAGAAGAGAGAGAUGGAGAGAAAAGAGAGGACGGGAAGGAGACGAGACGCCAGAGGAGAGAGAAGGGGGUGGUGGUCACUUCAACGGGCUGCAGCGCGGCGCCGCCCCGGCCGCUGAGCCUGCCCGACCGCCCCGUCGCCAAGUCGCCACCCCACUGACUGCCCUGGGCUCGCCCUUUAAACCAAUUCAGAGCCAACGAUUGUUGCCCACAUCGCCGAACCUGGCUCCCCUUCUCCACCCCAGCAAGCACGCGCGCUUGAAGGCGCCCAGGAGCUCGCCGGCAACACUCAGCAGACACAGGAGAGCUGCGUGCCUGGUGCGUGUGAAUGUGUGGACGCGAGGCAUUGGAGGCCUCAGCAAGGUUUGGUUUUGGCUCCAAUUUUUUUUCAGAAUCAUAUGCUAAUCUUAUCUAAUGGUCGUUUCUGUUGCAGUUAACAAAUUAUAUUGCCCUGUACUACUUUUUAACAAAUUGGCUCCUACAAAGACUAAUGGAAGGAUCAUCAGACCAACGUAGUCAAAUUGUCUGCUUCAAAUUUUCGGGAAGCCGACGGACAGCCAUAGUAGGAAGGCGUGGAUCUUGAGCUGCAGCGACAACGACAACUUGGGCGUUACCUGCAAAAAUACAACAGUUCAAGGGUUCAACCAAGUGUAAGUUUGAUUCAGUCAAUUAUUGCAGUUCUGCACUGAAACAUUCAGAUUCUUGCAUCCAAAGUUAGAUAGGAACAGGGAAAGAAUCUCCAACGCUUAUUUACAUGGGAAAGAACACUCUUUAACUUUGGUUCAGAUCAUCAGUCUAUCUGAAGCACCAUAGAUUGAGUUUGCAAGCAAAAGGAUCACACAAUCUGACAGUACAAGGAGCAGUCUUUUUCUUCACAUCUUUGUUUUAGCUUGCAUCUGACACUUAUGUGCUCCAAGAUUAGGCAACCAAAACUGAACUUAUGACUACAUGAGUGCAUGAAAAACUGUUAAUAUCUCUUAUUUGACUAAUCUUUGGAUUGGUCGGAGACGAGAUUCUCUGGCUUUGGGGAUGGCCCUUUGGGGUUCUAUCACGGUUCUAUUCAUGUGCACUAGGCACUUCUCAACACUUCCAUAGUUAUUCUAGAACCUCUUUAAAUUUGCAAUGCUCAUCAGAUUGUACACGUUUUGCAGUCAACUAUUCAGACUAUUGACUAGGGACGAUAUUUUCAGUCCUACUGAGUCUGCAAAGGAUGAGCCAAGCCAAGAUUAAUUAUGGUUUUGGUAAAUUGCAUCGGUUUAGUUAUGUACCUGCUCCUUAGAUGACUGUGUAUUUGUGAUUCAGUCGUUGAAAUUUGGGUGCUUUCUUCGAGUGUCCUGAAAAAUGGUUCAAUGCAUGUUUGCCAGAAACUGUAGAUUAGCAAGACUAAUUUGUGUUGAGCAUGUCAGUCUAUGUGUGGGCACGAGUGACAAUGUAAAUUAUGGUAGACACGAUUUUCUUGAAAAAAGUCCCGGAGACGGGCUGCUGCUGCUGCUGCUUUUGAUAGCCAAAGUGGAGACUGCAGUUCUAAGACUUCAAGGAGGAAAAGAAUACAUGGUUGCUACUUGGAGAGGUGAGUUGUUUCCCUGCAGAACAAUAAAUCUCUUAGAGUUGUUUAACUGAACCUGUUCCACUCUCAUUGUUAUGUCGAGAUAAAAAUUGUUAUUGGUCACUCAGUGCCCAAGCUGUCGUGGAUUAAUUUGACUUGAAUUGGAUUGUACUUCAAGAGUCCACAAGAUGUCAUUUCUGAGUGUGGUACUAAUUUCGGCACAUAGCACCAAUUUCUAAAAAUAAGGCUGGGCAACAUGAGCCAACCACAGGGGAGGAUGUUUCAAGAGAAUAAACUCACUGUAGUUGCCGAAUUGGUAUUAGUAAGUUGCUGUUUCAACUUCCUAGAGAACAACAGGGGGUGUAUUUUUUUUACUAUUAUUAGUUGCAGCACAUGGCGACGAUGACGAGGACUUGUAUUUUUAAGAUGCUGCACCUCUGUUUUUUGUUGACCUUUGUUUCAUGUAUAUAUGUACAUUCUACGGAAAUGUAUCAUCGGAAAUGUGAAU